UUGACUGGGGAGGCGGAGGUGUCCCAAGGCCAGCUCAGUGCGGACAGAAACCACACAUAGAGCAAAAGGGCACAUGCUGACUUGAUCUCGGUGUUCAGUACACACAGGGACAGCAAAAGCUCGGCCUAUCGA
rnacentral:ncRNA from 1 species